AGAUGAGGAGGGCCGGGCACAGCGAGGGUCAAAAAGGCGUCGGCGUCCGGACCGACUGGAGGUGUUCUUCUAUCUUUUGGAGCUCUACAGAAGGCCAUGAAGCACACCAUCAGAUGUUUGAAGGAUAUUAUGAGAGACCUUGCUAAGUGCCUUGCUGAAGUCCCAAGCUAAUAGCCAGUUUUCUUCCUGUGGAGUCAAGAAGAAGGGCAUUUUUGUCAUAUACCACAAAGAAACCACCAUCACAUGAUACAAAAAUGCAGAAAUAGCAUCAUAAUAAUCUGAGUUAAGAUGGGGAAGGGAGUGUAUCUUAUUGUAAUUGUCCUUACAGGAAAAACCGUCAUGAAGGUUUAGUUGAGAGAAGGUAGACAGAAAAAUGCCAAAACCUAAGAACAGUGAGUAGUGAAUCUGCUGGCUUCAGAUCCACUUUCAGGUUUUGGAAUGUCUGAAUAUGUCGUAGUUAGCAUUUUGUCACAAUCUCAUUUUUUAAAGCGUCUUUAGCCUUGCGUUUGGAAGAAGUAGAGCACAGGGAAAGUUGAGAAUACUAAAGAAUACCUUUUGUUAUGUUCUCAUCAUUUCUACAUCUUUAAGAACUCUGAACCGUAUACAGAACUGUACAUUCAAUUUCAAUAUGGUAGAUGAGAAAAGGGCAAGACACAUCAUAGCUUUUCUUACCACAUAGAAACUUCUCAAGU
rnacentral:lncRNA from 1 species